UACAGAGGUCCCAAGCGUUGUUCGGAUUCAUUGGGCGUAAAGGGUGUGUAGGCGGCGCGGUAAGUCGGGUGUGAAAUCUCGGGGCUUAACUCCGAAACUGCAUUCGAUACUGCCGUGCUUGAGGACUGGAGAGGAGACUGGAAUUUACGGUGUAGCGGUGAAAUGCGUAGAUAUCGUAAGGAAGACCAGUGGCGAAGGCGGGUCUCUGGACAGUUCCUGACGCUGAGGCACGAAGGUCAGGGGAGCAAACGGG
rnacentral:rRNA from 1 species